rnacentral:rRNA from 1 species
UACGGAGGGGGCUAGCGUUGUUCGGAAUUACUGGGCGUAAAGCGUACGUAGGCGGCUUUGUAAGUUAGAGGUGAAAGCCCGGGGCUCAACCCCGGAAUUGCCUUUAAGACUGCAUCGCUUGAACGUCGGAGAGGUGAGUGGAAUUCCGAGUGUAGAGGUGAAAUUCGUAGAUAUUCGGAAGAACACCAGUGGCGAAGGCGGCUCACUGGACGACUGUGACGCUGAGUACGAAGCGUGGGAGCAAACAGG